rnacentral:lncRNA from 1 species
AUGAGGGGGGUUCGAUUCAUUUCAAUGGGUCACCAACGAGGGGGGUUCGAUUCAUUUCAAUGGGUCACUAACGAGGGGGGUUCGAUUCAUUUCAAUGGGUCACCAAUGAGGGGGGUUCGAUUCAUUUCAAUGGGUCACCAACGAGGGGGGUUCGAUUCAUUUCAAUGGGUCACCAACGAGGGGGGUUCGAUUCAUUUCAAUGGGUCACCAACGAGGGGGGUUCGAUUCAUUUCAAUGGGUCACCAACGAGGGGGGUUCGAUUCAUUUCAAUGGGUCACCAACGAGGGGGGUUCGAUUCAUUUCAAUGGGUCACCAACGAGGGGGGUUCGAUUCAUUUCAAUGGGUCACCAACGAGGGGGGUUCGAUUCAUUUCAAUGGGUCACCAACGAGGGGGGUUCGAUUCAUUUCAAUGGGUCACCAACGAGGGGGGUUCGAUUCAUUUCAAUGGGUCACCAACGAGGGGGGUUCGAUUCAUUUCAAUGGGUCACCAACGAGGGGGGUUCGAUUCAUUUCAAUGGGUCACCAACGAGGGGGGUUCGAUUCAUUUCAAUGGGUCACCAACGAGGGGGGUUCGAUUCAUUUCAAUGGGUCACCAACGAGGGGGGUUCGAUUCAUUUCAAUGGGUCACCAACGAGGGGGGUUCGAUUCAUUUCAAUGGGUCACCAACGAGGGGGGUUCGAUUCAUUUCAAUGGGUCACCAACGAGGGGGGUUCGAUUCAUUUCAAUGGGUCACCAACGAGGGGGGUUCGAUUCAUUUCAAUGGGUCACCAACGAGGGGGGUUCGAUUCAUUUCAAUGGGUCACUAACGAGGGGGGUUCAAUUCAUUUCAAUGGGUCACCAACGAGGGGGGUUCAAUUCAUUUCAAUGGGUCACCAACGAGGGGGGUUCAAUUCAUUUCAAUGGGUCACCAACGAGGGGGGUUCAAUUCAUUUCAAUGGGUCACCAAUGAGGGGGGUUCGAUUCAUUUCAAUGGGUCACCAACGAGGGGGGUUCGAUUCAUUUCAACCGGGCGCCCGUGUAUGUGUGUUUUGCACUUGCUGA